rnacentral:rRNA from 1 species
AUUGAACGCUGGCGGCAUGCCUUACACAUGCAAGUCGAACGGCAGCACGGGUGCUUGCACCUGGUGGCGAGUGGCGAACGGGUGAGUAAUACAUCGGAACAUGUCCUGUAGUGGGGGAUAGCCCGGCGAAAGCCGGAUUAAUACCGCAUACGAUCUACGGAUGAAAGCGGGGGACCUUCGGGCCUCGCGCUAUCGGGUUGGCCGAUGGCUGAUUAGCUAGUUGGUGGGGUAAAGGCCUACCAAGGCGACGAUCAGUAGCUGGUCUGAGAGGACGACCAGCCACACUGGGACUGAGACACGGCCCAGACUCCUACGGGAGGCAGCAGUGGGGAAUUUUGGACAAUGGGCGAAAGCCUGAUCCAGCAAUGCCGCGUGUGUGAAGAAGGCCUUCGGGUUGUAAAGCACUUUUGUCCGGAAAGAAAUCCUUGGCUCUAAUACAGUCGGGGGAUGGCGGUACCGGAAGAAUAAGCACCGGCUAACUACGUG